rnacentral:rRNA from 1 species
CUACGGGACGCUCCAGUAAGGAAUAUUGGGCAAUGGACGCAAGUCUGACCCAGCCAUGCCGCGUGCAGGAUGACAGCCCUACGGGUUGUAAACUGCUUUUAUACGGGAAAAAUUCCCCGGUCGUGCAUCGGGGUUGAUGGUACCGUAAGAAUAAGCAUCGGCUAACGCCGUGCCAGCAGCCGCGGUAAUACGGAGGAUGCAAGCGUUAUCCGGAUUCAUUGGGCUUAAAGGGUGCGUAGGCGGAAUGAUAAGUCAGUGGUGAAAUCCUACAGCUUAACUGUAGAACUGCCAUUGAUACUGUUGUUCUUGAGUACAUUUGAAGUGGGCGGAAUGUGUCAUGUAGCGGUGAAAUGCAUAGAGAUGACACAGAACACCGAUCGCGAAGGCAGCUCACUAAACUGUAACUGACGCUGAGGCACGAAAGCGUGGGGAUCAAACAGGAUUAGAUACCCUAGUAGUC